GAAGAUUUGCCAAGAAACUUAAAGGGCAUAAUCAAGGCAUACAGCGGGGACGCGACGAGGGCGUCGCCAGGAUGAGUGGGGGAGAAUGUCACAGCCCGUAUAUUUCCCCUUCUCGCACGAAGGUUCAAUGGCCCAAGAAGCCUCCAGAGUUCGCUACAAAGCAAGAGAGGAUUCUAGAACAUUCUAGAAUUAUCUGGAAACAUCUGGAAACAUCUGGAACAUUCUAGACCAUCUAGAAUCAUGUAUAUUGUGUAGAUAAUUAUGGAGGUAGGUGGUAGAUCAUUCUAGAGGCUUAAUCUUAGCCAUUAGAUGAAAUGUAUCCUCACCGUCCAUUGAGGAGGUGGAGGCCUAUAUAUAGCUUAGAGAUUUCAUUUGUAGGCAUUAAGCUCAAAACAAGCAAUAAGCUACAUCAAGU
rnacentral:lncRNA from 1 species